AUGUUGCAGUAUAACUUGAGGUUGCAUAGGUUUCCACAAAAUUCAAGAUCUGUCUGUGGGAGUCUUCCAGCACAAGGUCCCUCUGGUGUGAGGAGUCCAGGUCACGGAGAGCACAGGGAAAUGCCGCAUUGGGUGGAAAAACAAGCGCAGAGGCCCCUGCAUUCCCAAGACCAACUUUUCUAAUUUCCAAACUCUGGAACAUGCACUCACCGAAACGGGAGCUUGGUCCUAACUAUAAACUAGUAAUGAUGUGCUGAAAGGUGAAUGGGUUAUGAUUAACAUUAUUGAAAUAAAUUCUUAUUGAAACAUUUAUUUUUGUAUCCAUUUGUUCAGGAUUUAGAAAAAUAUGGGAGAACUAACCAUGUUUUAGGGUGACUGAACUUUCGCCCAGCAAAACUGCAAUGACUACAUCUUCCUCUAGAACUUGUGUUCUUUGACUGAGUUUAGCAUGAGCCCUGGCCAGAACCAGAAAAAGGUCAUGUGUAUGAAAUGGUCAUAUUUCUACUUGUAUGGUGUGCUGCUUCAUCUGCAUAAUCGAAGAUUAAUACAAUUAGAUAAUUAUUUUUAGAUUUGUAUGUUCAUUAGCUAAAUAUUAAAGUUUUGGAAAAGACCAUCUCUAAAUAAACUGACAUCGUAAUGUAAAUAUAAUAAAAAAAAAUAACAAUUGUUCAGCCCUUUUGGAAACUACGUGCUGGAUUUGUAGACUUGUUAUAUAACUGCUCCAUCUAGUGGUAUAAAUCAGGCAUUCAUAUAUAGCUGUGGGUAUUUUGUUUUUGUAGCACUUACAUCAGUUUGACAGUGACUGAAACUGGAUCUCUCUGAGUCUGAACAAACCCUGUGACUGCCCAUGUAAUGGCUGUGGAUC
rnacentral:lncRNA from 1 species